GUUAUGGUAAUAAGCACUUGGUCCACUCUGACUGCAUACUUUUAUCGAUUUUUAUUGAUCAUCCAAAGUAAAUUUUUAACAUAUAUUGUAAUAAUAGCAGGUUUAUUGAACAACAUUAUUAAUUGGACAUCCCUACUACAUUAUAUAUAUAUCUCAUUAAACACACACAGUCUCACCAUGCAUUGCUGUAGGGACACUUAUUGUCAAGCUAGGUAGGACUGCGUCACUCACUCAGUUGUUUGUGCACCGUUUGACCGUGUGGACGUGAAUAAAAAAGGCAUUAAAACGUAACUUAAAACAUAUAUCUCGCAGUUUACAGCAUUCAUCAAAUCUGAUCAAAGUGACACCAAAAUAAUGUAACUUGGCAUCUAAUGAAAGAAUAAUCCAAUUUUCGCAAGUUUUGUACUUGGUCCCCUCUGACUUAACGGCGACCAAUUGAGAAACUGUUAAAAACCAGUAAUUUAUCCUGCUAUAUUUCCAGAAAUUAAGCAAUCUUUCUAGAAUUUUUGCAGGGAUCACAGAAAGUUCAUUGCCAGGGUCUACUACCUGGAAAAACCUAGAACUAUCAAGGAGUUUUAUUCAA